rnacentral:rRNA from 1 species
UACAGGGGGUGCAAACGUUGCUCGGAAUUAUUGGGCGUAAAGCGCGCGUAGGCGGCUACUUAAGUCGGAUGUGAAAGCCCUUGGCUCAACUGAGGAAGUGCACCCGAAACUGAGUGGCUUGAGUACUAAAGAGGGUCGCGGAAUUCCCGGUGUAGCGGUGAAAUGCGCAGAUAUCAGGAGGAACACCGAUUGCGAAGGCAGCUCGCUGGGACGUAACUGACGCUGAGACGCGAAAGCGUGGGGAGCAAACAGG